CAACCGCCGCUUGUAGAUCACGCCCACCAGCGCCGUCCACCGCCACACAUCCCCGCCCCAAGCCCGGCUCCUCCGCCGCGCCGCUGCACAACCCCCCCCAACCCAGCUUCCUCCGCCGCGCCGCCACACAUCCUUGCCCGGCUGCCCCCAAGCCCGCCUCCGUCGCGCAGCCGCUUCCUCUGCCGUGCCGCCAACCAUCCCGUCUCCUCCCUGGAUCCUUGCCGUCAGCUCCUCCCUUGAUCCUUGCCGCCGUCAAAGUUCCGAUGGUCGUUCGAGCUCGCUGGCGUGACAGUGGCGCCCAACUUCCCUCGCCCCCGAGAUCCUUUCUCAUUCCCGAGCACCUCGACAACAUCUGACACCGGUUUCUGUUCAGGUUCGACGCAUAUUUUAGUUUGAACCCUUUUUUAGUUCCAAAAUUUGGCAGGUAUUUCAAUUCAGGAAGAUUUGGUAUAAAAAAUUUGCAUGGGUUAGUUGUGGAUGGAUCAUUUGUCUAUCAAAUUGGGGAUUUGUACUUUGUUCAGAAGGUUUCUUCUUCCCCCUCGUGUGUCGCCGGCCAUCCUCUUCCUGACCUUCGUCUUGGACCAAAGAUGGCCUUCUCUCCACACUUGUGCUGACCUUCUUCCUUCUGCUGCUCCCUCCUCCCCUACCGGAUGAAAAAACUACAUUACACGAUGGUGUAGAACCUCCAGUAUUACUCAUCCUUUUUUGCAGCAGUAGAUCACACAGUUUGAAUGAAGACUAAAGUUUCAGAGUUAUGUGGAUGGAAGGUUCAGAGAUGUUUUUGCAUUCAGACAUGUUUUUCCUCUUGUUUUUUGUUUCUUAACUUCUUCAUAAUUGUAAUUUCUGAUGCAACAUGUUGUUAUUUGGAAAGCUUAUGGACUCUUGUGUGUA